rnacentral:lncRNA from 1 species
ACAAGAUUCACAUAUGUAGUAUGUUUUCAUAAAUAAUGUGAGGAUGAUACAUUGGAAAUUAAGGAAAAUAUAAUACAUAUGAAAGCCAAAUCAUACAAGUUCAUUAGUUUAAUUAUAUUUGUAGCAUUAACAACUUUAAAGUCUAAAGUAACAUUAUGUAUCUUGGUACUGCGCUCAAGUGUAGCUUUAAGACUACGAAAUAUUUAUCAUCGGCCAUUACCAUCACUACCGGAACCACUCCCUACUCCAACACCUUUGCCAGCUCCACCACCAACACCUACUCCGAUACCAACCCCGAUUCCUCCACCAUGUCCACCUCCUCCUCCUAAUCCUCCCCCUGACCCACCACCUACACCUCCACCCGCACCAAAACCACCACCAUGACCUGAUCCUUCUCCUCCUCCACCUCCGCCACCACCUCCUCCUCCUCCUCCUCCUCCUACUCCUCCACCAGUUCCACCUCCAACUCCGCCACCUUCACCAAAUCCACCACCAUGGCCUGACCCUCCUCCAAGACCACCACCACCGCCUCCUCCUCCACCUCCAGCACCUUCUCCAACGCCACCACCUACACCACCUCCAGCUCCAAAACCUCCACCAUGUCCAAAACCACCUCCGAUACCUCCUCCACCACCACUACCUCCACCUCCACCAGCUCCACCACCAAGACCUCCUCCUUCACCACCUCCUACACCUCCUCCGACUCCAAAUCCACCACCAUGACCUGACCCUCCACCUACACCUCCUCCUCCACCAACACCACCACCUUCUCCUCCCCCUAGUCCUCCUCCACCAC